rnacentral:lncRNA from 1 species
AACUGGCUACAGGUGGGAGGGGAUACGCUGCCUCAUGUAUUCUCUCUGGCAUUUGAGAAGUAUGGGGUGGGGGAGAUAUAAUUACAAGGACUGUGGAAUUGAGGAGUUGUUGCUGAAAACAACAUUGAUUGAUGCUUUGAGGAAAGGAAAUGACAGAGAGAAAAUGAGUUUUCAAAUUCCAGGAAAACAUAACCUAAAGUGUAGGAGAAGGCAUCCCUGAGAUUCCCAUCCUAUCAGUUGAUGCUCCAGGAAACCGCGCCACCUAAGUGGGUUUCCCCAAAUAAGCCUCUGGCCUAUAUACGUAUAAUAUCAAAAUUUCUAGCUACUCAGCCAAACAUAGUGAAACAGAAAAUCAGUCAAACUGGUUAUUCAGGCUUCCGGACCAAAGCAAAGAGGAGACUAAGGAAUCUUAGACUUUGCAGCGUGUGAAUUUUGUCAGAGAUAGUUCCUCUGUCACAGGGCUUACAGCUUUUCCCAUUUCAAUUAAUUAGAAUCUCACAGAAAAGCAAAUGAUGUAAAAUAAAAGACUCAAACAUCUGGGAGCCCAAGCACGAUCCAGCAGAAAGCACUAAUAUGAUGCAGUCACAGCUUGUGGAUGGGAAUUUUGAGAGCCUUUAUUUCUGAGAACCACCGCUCAGAGAGAGUGUGGCUUCUUUUUACAGCUGGCGCACAAGGCAGAGCUUUCCAUUGGCCAACCCAACCAGAAUCCAGAGGGCCAAGGAGCCCCACUGUUGGAGUCCACGCAGAUGAGUCACUGCAGGACCCUGAGCAGGAGGAGAAGGGAGCAGAGUGGCCCUGGGGGGACAAUGGGAGAUAUUCAGCACAUCAUCAUGACCCAUCGAUGAGGAGUAACUAUUGUGUCAGCCAACUACUCCCCCCGGCCGGCUCCGUGCAGCCUCCGGGAUACUCUCGUCCUGUCACUUGUAUAUAAUUUUUCUGUCCUUUAAUUCUGAAUCAAAUAAUCUGCUCUCAUCUAUGCGACUGCUUCAUGUCUUCCCAUAUAGGAAGUUUUUAUCUUCCUGUAUAGCUUCUUGACGUAUAAUAUUCACUCCUCGCCUUCUAUGUGGCCUAUGUUUUUGGAGGAAAUUAUUCCCUUUGAGAACUCUGGAAUUCCUAAAAGAUCAUAUUUAGCCUUCCGGUAUGAAAAUAUUGAUGGAGAUAAAACCUGUAAAAUCCCAAUUUGAUGGCCAAUUUGUGCUCAGAGCCACUUUCAAAUGAGAGCUCAUGAAAUUGUUGAAGAAAAGGCAAUCUGAAAAUGGUAAAUAUAGGCCUAAGGGGUAACGAUGUAUGAUCAGAAUUGUUACUAUUAAACGCUCACUCAGUACCACCCCGGAGAAGAGUUUCAAAGCAAAGAAUGACCUUGAAAGCAAUGCAGCCUGAUGCUGAGGAGGAUGUUGAUGCUAAUAUGAUGUAAUGAUAUUAACAAAAAUAGCAACGUUGGUACAUAUCAUUUUUCCAGUGCCUACUAAGUGUCUAACAUUAUAUCACCCCUUUAUACCCGUUAAUUUCACUGAAUAGUCUAUUAAUCAGAUUAAUAUUCAUUUUACACACAUCUCAUCUAAUACUCAAAUUGAUAUUUUUAUUACAGGACUUUUAUAUAUUUUAUCUCACUCAAAACUUAAAUUGAUAUUAAUCUAGCAUUUUAAUACAUAUUACUGUAUACCUUGCAUACAUUUAAUCUCAUUUAAUAUUCAAAUAGAUAUUACGUUGCCAUUUAUACACAGAUAAUUUUAUGUACUCUUGUACCUUUUAUCUCACUUAAUACUAAAAUUGAUAUUAUCGUU